rnacentral:rRNA from 1 species
UAACACCGGUUGAUCCUGCCGGAGGUCACUGCUAUCGGAGUCCGACUAAGCCAUGCGAGUCCAAGUGCUUCGGCACUGGCGGACUGCUCAGUAACACGUGGACAAUCUGCCCUCGGGAGGGGGAUAACCCCGGGAAACUGGGAAUAAACCCCCAUAGACCAUGGAUGCUGGAAGGCUUCAUGGUUGAAAUUCCGAAAGGAGCCCGAGGAUGAGUCUGCGGCCUAUCAGGUAGUAGUGAGGGUAACUGCCUCACUAGCCUACGACGGGUACGGGCCUUGAGAGAGGGAGCCCGGAGAUGGACUC